rnacentral:lncRNA from 1 species
GUCUAUGUCCUUAUUAAGAACUAAUUAAUCACAUGUGCACGCAGUUGUCUAAACAACCACGGACCAUCAGCUUUGGAGGCGUUAUUCAUGGGCAUCUGGCUGUAUCUCCUUAUCUUAGAGAGGAAGAAACUGACAUCCAGGAGAGCAAAGGUGACAGGUCCCAGAACACAGCUGGGUAGGGACCCAAAAGAGACUGGAACCCAGCUGAGCCGUUUAACAACUAAAAUCAGAAGAUGGACCUGGCUCCGUGUGUGCCGUGCCUGAGCACGUUAGUAACGAGCCACAGGAGAGAAGCUUGAUUCCAGACAGAAGAUGAUGCCUUCAACAGUUCAGAAGAUAACUUUGCCUCCUUUGCAGAAGUCUGACCCUUGUCCUGAGCAUCCAAUACUAAAAAAUAAAGUGAAGUAUAUGAUUAAAACUUGCGAUUACGUUGGUUCCAGCCAGUGUUGAAAGGAGCUGCAGUGCUGUGUUUGUUCGAUCUGAGAGGGUGAGCAAUCAGAGAUGACCACUGGAUUCUUUCUAGUGCAAACAGAAGUGAAUGCUCAGGGCUAUAAAGCUGAUCUCGGGUCCCUCUGAUUUAACAGAAACACGAUGAAGAUUUCCAGAAAAACGUAGUAAUUUACCUUCUCUGCAAGAGAUAUUCCUUUUACUGGCUUCAAAUUUUGGUGGCCACUGAAAGAACAAAGAAGGAUGAAGUUCUUUCCCAUGACUUUUAUUUAUAUAGGUCUUUACUGCUCGGGAAGUAUUAUCACGUGCUAUCUUGUUUGGAAUAUAAAAGAAAGUGGUGCAUACUGAAGCUAUUAAGAUGAGCUCUUGAUUCUAAAAUGAAAAGAGGACCGCAGAAAGGGCGGAUUUGCUGCUGCGUUAUUUGUUGACGUGGUCACAUAGGAAGUCAACCGCAUUUAAAAUCUGUAAACUCCUGGAUUGCUUCAUCACAGACGCCUCAAGGGAACAAUCAUUCCUCUGAGACCGUAUCAAAGGCAGAGCAAGAGGGAGAGGAAUGAGAACUGCAGAUGCAAAAAGUUAUCAGAAGGCACGGCGAGCUUGAAACCAGAUGGAACCAGAAAUCGUAAUUGCUGUUGAUCUUUUACUACCUGCUUUAGAGUUUACAAAGCAUUUUCCCAUAACUCAUUGCUGUCAAUACAUCUCUGAAGGACAUGGGACUAAUGUUAAUUA